rnacentral:misc_RNA from 1 species
CCUGUCAAUAUCAUGGUGAUACAUACGGUUCUUUCAUUUAUCAUUCAACCAAUUUAUUUGCAAUUAUUAAAGGCUUUCAAAAUGUAAAUUGGGUUCACACAUACACAAAUGUAUAUUGGGAUCACACAUUCACACGACGACAUUCGCCAAAUCUCUUGGUCCUAAUGUCUAUUCCCUCCUUUGUCUAUCAUUUCUUCUCUUCUUUUUCUUCCUGGGACUUCCAUAAGUCGGCUAGAGAUGGCCAUUGCUCUAUCUUCUCUGUGUUCUCAACUCAGUAGCUAGGAAUCCAACUUUAACCAUCACUGAUAAACAGAAUUGUAGGUGGGAUUCUCUUUCUGCACUUUAAGUAAACUUCACAAAAAUAUAUUCUAAUACACUGCUAGAGAGAUUAAAAAUUUCAUGAACACACAUUUAUUUCAUAUGCAAAAUGCAUUCUGCAUGAGAACUGAGUUUGAUCAUUAUUAACAUAACUUGUUAUAUAAGCGUAAGGAACACACAGUCCAUAAGGAUACACUGAACUGCAGAUUUAACCAUCACCAGCUAUUGAUACCGUAUGUAAGUUUUAUUUCAAUCUCUAGUUUGCAGCUUGUGAUGCUAGUAACACACAUCAUUUGAUGAAGAUGUGGGUCCAGCAGCCUUGAUAUAGAGUGGAUCCCAUGUCAUCCCUUCUGUACCACAGUGACCACCUGUAAUGCUACCAACCUGGGUCGAACUAUACCCUGCCACUGCAGCAGCAAUUGCUGUCUGUGCUGCUAUGCUAUUCCUUUCAGCUGCUGCUUUGAGACGGUGCCUCUCAGCUCUAGAACCAAUAACCUGCCCCAGGAUAGAAGCUCCAAUAGUCAGUGCCAUAGCAGUUUUGGGCAUCACAACAGACUUCCUAAGCAUAGCUACGAAGGGCACGGCUGCAUGCACUGCUGCAAACCAUGAUAGUGAAAACUUCUUAGUAUGUUCCUUCCACACGCCUAAAGGCACAUUUACUGCCAUGCCCAAGAUUGCAAUGACAAACAUCUUCGCAGGUAGUGGCUGCGGUCGCAAGGUUUUAACGAGGGCAGUCCGUGCAAGGGCAGCCCUUGCAGCAACUACAGCAGGUGGACAUCUAAGCUUCACACCAGGUGGCAAUUGAAAAGUUGAUGCCACAAGUGGCAGUACACGACUAACAGCUCUAUAAGAUUUAGCAAUUGGACAGUUUCCUGUUUCUAACCACUCAUUUCCCAGUGCCUCAUGUUUUGAGGUAUUUCCUUUCUGGAGGAUGAAAACAAAGCAUAUCAUAAUUAGAAACAUGAAAAAUUAUCAGUUUAAAUUGAACAUGAAGAAUAAACUUUUCAAUUUUGCUGAGCAAUUGGAUAAAUGUCUGCUGGUACAUUUUGUCACUGAAUAUGCAAACAAACCAUUUCCAGUACAUUGAGAGGUUAUAUAUUCAGUCAGAAAAGUAUCUUAUAGGUAAAGUCACCGGAAAAAAACAGUCAAAGAAAGUGAAAUCUUUCAAACAAAGGGUUCAUUCCCCGAAUUAAAUGUGCUCAUAGUGAUAUUUAAUCAAAGGCAUCUUAACAAAGGCCAUCUUUCGAAAACAUUUCCCUCUCCCCCCAAUCAAACCUGUUUGGGUUCAAAAUAUUUCCCUCAUUGCAAAAAGUUAACUUGAAUGGUGAAGAAUGUGCAUCCACCUGAGAAGAUGGAUCAUUUUUAUUGGUGGAGUCAGAUUUCUUCUUCUGAUUCUUCCGCUUAUCAUUGAAGGAACCAAAGCCAAAUGGUCCACCUUGACCAAAUGCAGAUAAACUAAUAGUGGCAGCUUUUGCUGCUAAGGGGUUGAAGUGGGGUGUAGAGUCAUGUUCCAAAAUGUCAUUACGGAAAUUAGACCUGUUUGAGAGCGGAACAACCCCAUCUUUCCCAUGAAACAGCUUAAAUGCCAUAUCAAAAUUAGGACCAUCUUCAAAUAUUGGACCUUUGGCUCCCCUCACAGGACUGGGAAAAUUCACUGAAAAUAAGGAAAAGCUAGUCGGCUUGUUGAUGUGACGCAGAAAUGGGCAUCUCUGAAUGGUUUUCUCAUCAAAGUGACAAUCAGAUGCGCCUUCAUUUACUCCCUUGAACAAAAAAUCCAUUGCUUACUGUAUACACGCAAGACCAGCUUGAGUAGUUAAUAGAAUAUUUGAAAAUAAAAGAAAUAUGACACCAUAUAUAAUAUCAGCUAAUAGUUGCAGUAGAUUUUAUAAAUUGCAAAACCACAAAGCAAGAUUUUGACAUUCUCAACAUCUAAGCUACAUAAAACAGCACCAACCAACUUGAGAAUUGAUCCAAGUGCUCAUGUUAACAAGAAUAUAUAAAGAUCUCAAAUGAAUUAUGUUCAGUCAGCAGAAAUGAUACAAUAAACUCCAAAUAAUUCAGGAAAGGUUUGUUUAGUUGAUAAUUUAUCUAGCAAUUAUGAAUCGUCACUACAAUUCAUUCAAAUAGAAUGAUGCAGAAUUUAUCUAGCAAUUUUCUAUAAAAAAAAAAAUUAUUUAAACUCCCAAAAUUCAUAAACAUUAACAUACUAACAAACUGAAAACAAACAAAUCCAUAUGAAUUCAACAAUUUCACAUUGAUUCAAGAAAAAGGAAAUGAAUUUGAGGACACAGGAGCAGAAAUCAAAUUCCAUAUACUGAAGUAAGACAACAGAAAGAGAAUUCAAAGAAAAAUGAAAUCAAAAAUGAAAUCAGCACAAACAAUUCGCUACAAUCAUCAAUCCCACAACGAGAAAACCACAAAUAAGCAAAGAAACCCAUUUGUGAAUGAAAUUAAGAAGAAGAAAAAUCAUAGAAAAAAAUUCAUGAAAUGAAAAUUGAGCAAAU